UGUGUGUGCGUGUGUGUGUGUGUGUGUGUGUGUGUGGGUACCUGAGUAUGCGCUGCAGGAUGCAGGUGUCUGCAGGUGUGCCGCAGCUUUAUUUGCUCCAGCGCAGCUCCAGGGAGCUUCUGUGCGUGACGGCAGCGAGGACAGGGUGUGAGCGGUGGUCUGUGUGUGUGUGUAGGACUCAGACCCGGGGCUCUGCUCCCGACAGGACGACAGGCAGGGACCUGACUUCCACGAGGGACUCUCUGGUUUAUCAGCAUGCCGCGAGGUCUAGAAACCAGAAGCGCCUGAUGUUACAAACGUCAGAAGCCACACUCGUCUGCCGGUUCCCGGCUGUUUUCGUGAGUCUUGAGGAGCUGCAAGGCUCGAGGAAUUAUAGGAGAGAGACGGUCUGGAUCUGAUCUGGUCCUGAGAGAACUGCAUCUCUUUAUAUUCCACAUCCCUACACAGAUACAAGACGGCAUUAAUGUGAACAGGUUUCUGUGUGAACAGAAACCCUGAAACACACAGACGUGCUGAUGGAGGUGAAAGGUCACUCACGUGAGGACAUAGUUGACGCUGACGAUGCAGUGCGGCCGAGAAGAGCGACUGUUGUGAACGAUGGUGGCACAGCUCUGCACCCAAACCCAGCCGCCGUGUUUGGAAAGCAUCCGACACAUUAGGAAUCAGCAGUGGUUCUCAAUGUUCUUGGAGUACAAACAAAACACUGCACAUCUACUGUCUGCCUGAUCAAAUACAGUCAGAGCUGGGACAGGUGUCUGAUCUUCAGAGUAUCUGAUGAAGCGCAUGCAGCAACUCACGUGAAUGAUGUGCGUAUCGCAGCUGGAAGACGUCACAGACGUGGACGUGAUGGUACAGAGUCUUCUCAAUCAGAUCCUGCGGCUCGUAACCCGUUAACUCAGCCACCCUGACACAUGAAGAAAGUGCUUUCAUUCACUGUGGAUCUCAAGAAACGGCAGUUUGAGCAGAUCUGUGCUGUUUUUGUGUUUAUACCACUGGCUAGAAAUGUUUAAUGGUUAAGAAUCACAGCUGAUAUUUCUCCGGUUCAUUCAGGACUGAAAGUACAAGUCAGUGUGGAAAUGGAAGAUCGUCAUUCUGCGUGGGUUCUGCGUGUCUUAAAAAAAUCUUUAUUCACAGAAUUAAAAUCAGAGAUAAAGUUGUGGUAUUAAAUGUUGCCUGAACUGCUGAAAAUGAAUCUCUUCCUCAGUUUUCCAGUACAAAUAUCUAAACAUCCUUAAAUCAAGAAUCAUUUACUGAAGAUGAGAAGUCAUGUUUUCUGAGAAACUGAACAAAAUGAAGUGAGUUUAUGAUUAAAACAAGAGCUAAUAUCUUCAAUUGACGAAUAAAACUUUUUUUGAUUUUUUCUGAGCUCACUGACAGAUAUUUACUUUAGUUUUAUCUUUUUAGUUUUUUGUUUUAUUUUAUCUUAAAAAAGACUUAGUAAUUUCUCAUCUGCAGUAAAUGAUUCUGAUUUUAAAAUCUUUUCACCGGAAAGCAAGAAAGAAAUACUUGUUUAAAGUGUGAGCAGAAGUGCAGUAAGUUAUUUCUCUAGUAGUUAAUCUGAAGCUUUAGGUUUUUUUUUAAUUAAAGAGAAAUGGAGAUCUAUCAUAAGCUGUAUUUUCAAACUUUAAAUUAUUGCUAAUACAAUAGUCACAUUAAGAGAUCAUAACGACAAAUUGUGUUCCCCAGUUUAUUUUUUUACUUCUUACUUGGUCUUAAAACACUUUCAAUUUGCUUUCAAAAAACCUGCAGAAACCCUGGUCAAGCGGAGCACAGUGCAUUGUGGGAUACAUUAGUAUAUUCAGUGUCUUGCAGGUAAUCUGUGCAUGCUGAGACCCCUUCUCAUGUGGGUUGAGCUGAAGCUCACCUGCUGUCCAGAAAGAUGAGUUUGAGGUCCAGACUGGCGCGGAACAUGAACAUGUUGCUGUGGAGUUUGAUCUCGGUGACGCCGCUGGGAGGAAGAGACUGACCGACCGCCACCAGCCCCACGAUCUGAUAGCACGACUCGUACAGAGACACAUCCAUCACCACCUGACGGAACUUCAGGAAGUGUGGCUGCAGCGGCUGGUGUGCGCUCAGCACGGUGCUCAUCUCGUCGUGGUCUGAUGGAUGAAUGUACUCAAAGAUGCUGUUACCGCAGGGCACACCAGACACAGGGAAGGUCACUCCACAGCACUUCAGCGACAAAUGAGUUUCUGCGCAGCUGCGGCGCGGUGUGAUAAUCUCGUCUUUGUAGCGCCGUGGCGCAUUCGUGAAGGAAUGUGCACUUUACUAACCAUACUAUGUGCUUCACUUCAAUCUGGAGUCCUGCUGCACACUUGCGCACAAUAAAGUCCUGUCAGAGUCCCAGCAUAAUGAGAUCCCUGUCCACGCGGCUCUGAGCUCGGUCUCAGACGCUCUGCUCACAUUCUGCUCGUCCUACAGUAACCAGCUCAUUCAGAUGCUCAGUAGUCAGCACACACAGGUGUUCCUGCACUAACAGCAUCAUUUGCGUUGUCUUUAACUAGACAAUAAACACAGCGUUGUCCCCUGAACUCACCCGUGGAGAUCUUGAGCAACACAGAGAGCAUCCUGGAGCUCCACACAGUCCUUUUACUUCAUCAAGGUCACUGUCGACAACUGCACCAUAUUCUUCUUUUAAUGCUCCUCAACUAGUUAAAAAUGUUAGGCACUAAUAUCUCCUGACUGUAAGAUGUAAAUAUUUAAUGUCAGUCAUUGUUUUUAUUAUCUUGAUGUGUGACUGCAUUAGUUAACUGAACAGAUAAUAAAGGAGAAACUGAAAUAUGUUUGAUUUCUUUGUCUCCUAUUCUUUCCAUUUUUUUGGGUACAAAUUAAAUCCCUCAACCCUGAUACCAACAAGCCCUAAGGAUAACAUGCUGACCAUUAAUUUCCAUGAAACAGCAUAUCUUUGACUUGAUC